UCGUUUUGGAUCCCAGCCAUGUAUGUACUAAUAAGCUAUCUCAAGCACACGCACAUGUUGCUCGAUUGAUAUCUGUAGUUAUAGCAGCAGUACGUAUGUGUCUCCUAUACUAGAUUAAUUUCUAGACUUAGCUCAACAACAACAGCUCUUACCUGUUUGUUCGUUUUAGAGCAGCAGACAUCCUCAGUUGACAAUGAUGACAACCAGGGCAUCCACCGCCACAACGACGCUCCGCACAUGGUCCAACUUGGCUACAACUUCCUCUACCGCGUACAGUGGCCGCGGUUGUCUGUGGCAUCAAGUACAGCCUCCUCUUCGGUGAGCCCAUCUCCUACCUCUGGCUCCCUCUUUUCUGCUGUUGUAGAAGUACCUUGCUCUGUUCCAUGCCCAUCAUAUUUUUUGUCAUAAAAUGCUCUAGUGAACUGGAUUCAUACAUAAGUCUGCUACUUUUCCUCAAGUUAUUUGUGCAUUUAUAAACCUAUUCGAACUUUUCUAUUUCUUGAAUGUAUCCAUCCAUAAAUGUUCUAUACAAAUAGUUUUGGAAUGUGUUUUUUUGUUAGCUUAUGUCGUGCAUCACAAAUGGAUCAAGUUCUAGUUUUAGUUUUGUUGUUAUUAACCUCUACAAUCCCGUCAGCAUAAUAAGUAUGUGAAUGAAUCCGUUCGAGUAUCUGAAACUAAAUGUUUUGUUGCUCAUAGUAAUUAAAAACAGCGGUCAGUUUCUCAUCACACACUGUUAUUAUCACUUCAUGGCUUGAUAUGUUGUGUCAGGCUGCUGUAGGUGCUGAACUGUGAUAAUUGCAAGGAGGAACAACUGUUUGGCUUCAGUCCUUCCCCAUUUGAUCAUUUUUAUGGCCCGCAUGCAUGCUAACAUGCUAUUUGUUGGCUGACUUGGCAUGACUUGCACGAAAACUUGAGGGCAUUCAUACUAAAUAGAACUUAAUUUUCAUGCAGACUUGCUCUAGCUCUUCUUAAUCUUCAUGCAGGUUUCUCUCCAGAAUUGAUCUUACUACUAAAUAGCACCCCCAUCACUUGCUGCUGUUGUUAGCACCCCAUCACUUGUUGUUGUUGUUAUUCACCCUAUCUUCGCUGUUCUGUUUUCUUGUUGGCAGAUAUUUUGCGUAAAUUCAAGACGAAAGAUGUUCAAAGAAGCACCAAGACAUUCUUAUAUAGCAAGUUAUGUAAUAAUAGCUGGGUUAUCUGGGCAUUGAGAACUCUAGAGUUUCAUGUAUCUUCUCUCUGUUUCUGAAUGAAAUGUUGUAUGUUUCAGAAUUACAAUUUCUAUUUCAUAUGAAAUAGUAAUUAUGUACGUGAUUUGAAAAUGUGUGCAAUGGAAACAUGACUCAUGCGACCCACUUAUCAAAAUAAUUUGAGCACAUUUG
rnacentral:lncRNA from 1 species